rnacentral:rRNA from 1 species
UUCUUUGUCCCAGAUGGAAUGUUCCUUAAUCUCAUCUGAUCUCAGAAACUAAGCAGGGUUGGGUGUGGUUUGUAGUUGGAUUGGGGAUCACAUGAGAAUAGUGGGUGCUAAGGGCU